UACAGAGGGGGCAAGCGUUGUUCGGAAUUACUGGGCGUAAAGGGCGCGUAGGCGGCCUGUUAAGUCGAACGUGAAAUCCCUGGGCUCAACCCAGGAACUGCGUCCGAUACUGGCAGGCUUGAAUUCGGGAGAGGGAUGUGGAAUUCCAGGUGUAGCGGUGAAAUGCGUAGAUAUCUGGAGGAACACCGGUGGCGAAGGCGGGUCUCUGGGCCGAUACUGACGCUGAGGAGCGAAAGCGUGGGGAGCGAACAGG
rnacentral:rRNA from 1 species